rnacentral:rRNA from 1 species
GUCCACGCCCUAAACGAUGCGAACUGGAUGUUGGGUGCAACUUGGCACCCAGUAUCGAAGCUAACGCGUUAAGUUCGCCGCCUGGGGAGUACGGUCGCAAGACUGAAACUCAAAGGAAUUGACGGGGGCCCCGCACAAGCGGUGGAGUAUGUGGUUUAAUUCGAUGCAACGCGAAGAACCUUACCUGGUCUUGACAUCCACGGAACUUUCCAGAGAUGGAUUGGUGCCUUCGGGAACCGUGAGACAGGUGCUGCAUGGCUGUCGU